rnacentral:rRNA from 1 species
AUUGAACGCUGGCGGCAUGCCUUACACAUGCAAGUCGAACGGUAACGCGGGGCAACCUGGCGACGAGUGGCGAACGGGUGAGUAAUGUAUCGGAACGUGCCCAGUUGUGGGGGAUAACUGCUCGAAAAAGCAGCUAAUACCGCAUACGACCUGAGGGUGAAAGCGGGGGAUCGCAAGACCUCGCGCAAUUGGAGCGGCCGAUAUCAGAUUAGGUAGUUGGUGGGGUAAAGGCUCACCAAGCCGACGAUCUGUAGCUGGUCUGAGAGGACGACCAGCCACACUGGGACUGAGACACGGCCCAGACUCCUACGGGAGGCAGCAGUGGGGAAUUUUGGACAAUGGGCGCAAGCCUGAUCCAGCCAUGCCGCGUGCGGGAAGAAGGCCUUCGGGUUGUAAACCGCUUUUGUCAGGGAAGAAAAGGCUCCUGUUAAUACCGGGGGCUCAUGACGGUACCUGAAGAAUAAGCACCGGCUAACUACGUGCCAGCCGCCGCCGUAA